rnacentral:rRNA from 1 species
GAUGAACGCUAGCGGCAGGCCUAACACAUGCAAGUCAGGGGUAACAUAGAAAAGCUUGCUUUUCUGAUGACGACCGGCGCACGGGUGCGUAACGCGUAUACAACCUACCUUUUAGCGGGGAAUAGCCCAGGGAAACUUGGAUUAAUGCCCCAUAGUAUAUAGACUUCUCCUGAAGUUUAUAUUAAACAUUUAUGGCUAUUAGAUGGGUAUGCGUCCUAUUAGUUAGUUGGUAAGGUAACGGCUUGCCAAGGCAGCGAUAGGUAGGGGUCCUGAGAGGGAGAUCCCCACACUGGUACUGAGACACGGACCAGACUCCUACGGGAGGCAGCAGUGAGGAAUAUUGGACAAUGGGCGAGAGCCUGAUCCAGCCAUGCCGCGUGCAGGAAGACUGCCCUAUGGGUUGUAAACUGCUUUUACAGAGGAAGAACCACCCCCACGUGUGGGGGUUUGACGGUACUCUGCGAAUAAGGAUCGGCUAACUCCGUG